UUUUGUAUAAUGGGUCAGCGACUUAUAUUCAGUAGCAAGGUUAACCGCAUAGGGGAGCCGUAGGGAAACCGAGUCUUAAUAGGGCGUAUAGUUGCUGGGUAUAGACCCGAAACCAGGUGAUCUAUCCAUGAGCAGGUUGAAGGUUGGGUAACACUAACUGGAGGACCGAACCCACUGUCGUUGAAAAGCCAGGGGAUGACUUGUGGAUAGGGGUGAAAGGCUAAUCAAACUUGGUGAUAGCUGGUUCUCCCCGAAAGCUAUUUAGGUAGCGCCUCGGACGAAUACCAUUGGGGGUAGAGCACUGUUUCGGCUAGGGGGUCAUCCCGACUUACCAAACCGAUGCAAACUCCGAAUACCAAUGAGUACUAUCCGGGAGACAGACUGCGGGUGCUAACGUCCGUAGUCAAGAGGAAAACAAUCCAGACCGCCAGCUAAGGCCCCAAAAUUAUAGUUAAGUGGGAAACGAUGUGGGAAGGCAUAGACAGCUAGGAGGUUGGCUUAGAAGCAGCCACCCUUUAAAGAAAGCGUAAUAGCUCACUAGUCGAGUCGGCCUGCGCGGAAGAUGUAACGGGGCUAAAACUAUAUGCCGAAGCUGCGGAUGCAUAAUUUAUUAUGCGUGGUAGGGGAGCGUUCUGUAAGCCGAUGAAGGUGGAUUGAGAAGUCUGCUGGAGGUAUCAGAAGUGCGAAUGCUGACGUGAGUAACGACAAUGCGAGUGAAAAACUCGCACGCUGAAAGACCAAGGGUUCCAGUCCAACGUUAAUCGGGGCUGGGUGAGUCGACCCCUAAGGCGAGGCCGAGAGGCGUAGUCGAUGGGAAAUUGGUUAAUAUUCCAAUACUUCUGUGUAAUGCGAUGAGAGGACGGAGAAGGUUAAGUCAGCCUGGCGUUGGUUGUCCAGGUGGAAGGUUGUAGGCAUGUAUCUUAGGCAAAUCCGGGGUACUCUAUGCUGAGAACUGAUAGCAAGCUGUACUUGUACAGUGAAGUGGCUGAUACCAUGCUUCCAGGAAAAGUCUCUAAGCUUCAGUUACACAGGAAUCGUACCCGAAACCGACACAGGUGGUCAGGUCGAGUAGACCAAAGCGCUUGAGAGAACUCUGCUGAAGGAACUAGGCAAAAUGGUACCGUAACUUCGGGAGAAGGUACGCUGUUGUCUGUGAUAGGACUUGCUCCUUGAGCGGCCGACAGCCUCAGAAACCAGGCCCCUGCAACUGUUUAUUAAAAACAUAGCACUCUGCAAACACGAAAGUGGACGUAUAGGGUGUGAUGCCUGCCCGGUGCUGGAAGGUUAAUUGAUGGGGUUAGCGUAAGCGAAGCUCUUGAUCGAAGCCCC
rnacentral:rRNA from 1 species